UUGUGAACUUAUACCUUACUGUUGCCUCGGCGCAUGCCGGCCCCCCCUGGGGGCCCCUCCUUCUGGAGGAGCAGGCACGCCGGCGGCCAACCUAACUCUUGUUUUUACACUGAAACUCUGAGAAUAAAACAUAAAUGAAUCAAAACUUUCAACAACGGAUCUCUUGGUUCUGGCAUCGAUGAAGAACGCAGCGAAAUGCGAUAAGUAAUGUGAAUUGCAGAAUUCAGUGAAUCAUCGAAUCUUUGAACGCACAUUGCGCCCUCUGGUAUUCCGGAGGGCAUGCCUGUUCGAGCGUCAUUUCAACCCUCAAGCCUGGCUUGGUGAUGGGGCACUGCCUGUAAAAGGGCAGGCCCUGAAAUUCAGUGGCGAGCUCGCCAGGACCCCGAGCGCAGUAGUUAAACCCUCGCUCUGGAAGGCCCUGGCGGUGCCCUGCCGUUAAACCCCCAACUUCUGAAAAUUUGACCUCGGAUCAGGUAGGAAUACCCGCUGAACUUAAGCAUAU
rnacentral:rRNA from 1 species